rnacentral:rRNA from 1 species
UUUCCUACGGGUGGCAGCAGUGGGGAAUAUUGGACAAUGGGGGCAACCCUGAUCCAGCAAUGCCGCGUGAGUGAUGAAGGCCUUCGGGUUGUAAAGCUCUUUUACCAGGGAUGAUAAUGACAGUACCUGGAGAAUAAGCUCCGGCUAACUCCGUGCCAGCAGCCGCGGUAAUACGGAGGGAGCUAGCGUUGUUCGGAAUUACUGGGCGUAAAGCGCACGUAGGCGGCUACUCAAGUCAGAGGUGAAAGCCCGGGGCUCAACCCCGGAACUGCCUUUGAAACUAGGUAGCUAGAAUCUUGGAGAGGUCAGUGGAAUUCCGAGUGUAGAGGUGAAAUUCGUAGAUAUUCGGAAGAACACCAGUGGCGAAGGCGACUGACUGGACAAGUAUUGACGCUGAGGUGCGAAAGCGUGGGGAGCAAACAGGAUUAGAUACCCCAGUAGUCAA